GUGUGUGUGUCUCAGUGGUUAAGAUGUUGGACUUCUGAUCGGAAGGUUGUGAGCUCAAACCUCAGCACCAUCA